AGCUUUAUAGCAUAGUGGUAGGGAGCUGGGCUCGUAAGCGAAAGGUUGUUGGCUCGAUUCCACACUGGGGCAC